rnacentral:rRNA from 1 species
GAUGAACGCUGGCGGCGUGCCUAAUACAUGCCUGUCGAACGGAGCACCUUGGUGCUCAGUGGCGAACGGGUGAGGAGAACAUAGGUAACCUGCCCCUCCGAGGGGUACAACAGCUGGAAACGGCUGCUAAGACCGCAUAGACGCAUUCAGGGCAUCCUGGAUGCGCUAAAUGACCGGAUGGUCAGCGGGGGGAUGGACCUAUGCAGUAUUAGCUGGUUGGCGGGGCAACGGCCCACCAAGGCGACGAUACUUAGCCGGCCUGAGAGGGCGGACGGCCACACUGGGACUGAGACACGGCCCAGACUCCUACGGGAGGCAGCAGUAGGGAAUUUUCGGCAAUGGGGGAAACCCUGACCGAGCAACGCCGCGUGAACGAAGAAGGCCUUCGGGUCGUAAAGUUCUGUUGUACGGGAAGAACGUCGGAUGGAGGAAAUGCCAUGCGAGUGACGGUACCGAACAUAGAAAGCCACGGCUAACUACGUGCCAGCAGCCGCGGUAAUACGUAGGUGGCGAGCGUUAUCCGGAAUCAUUGGGCGUAAAGAGGGAGCAGGCGGUGAUACAGGUCUGGAGGUGAAAGCCCGAAAGCUAAACUUCGGGAAGCCCCGGGAAACCGGAUCACUGGAAUGCGGAAGAGGAUCGUGGAAUUCCAUGUGUAGCGGUGAAAUGCGUAGAUAUAUGGAGGAACACCAGUGGCGAAGGCGACGGUCUGGUCCGCAACUGACGCUCAGUCCCGAAAGCGUGGGGAGCAAAUAGGAUAAGAUACCCUAGUAGUCCACGCCGUAAACGAUCGAUACUAAGUGUCGGGAGUCAGAUCCCGGUGCUGCAGUCAACGCAAUAAGUAUCGCGCCUGAGUAGUACGUUCGCAAGAAUGAAACUCAAAGGAAUUGACGGGGGCCCGCACAAGCGGUGGAGCAUGUGGUUUAAUUCGAAGCAACGCGAAGAACCUUACCAGGUCUUGACAUCGAUCUAAAAGGGAGAGAGAUCUCCUCAUAGCUAUAGAGAAGACAGGUGGUGCAUGGUUGUCGUCAGCUCGUGUCGUGAGAUGUUGGGUUAAGUCCCGCAACGAGCGCAACCCUUAUUGUCAGUUGCCAUCAUUAAGUUGGGCACUCUGGCGAGACUGCCGGUGACAAACCGGAGGAAGGUGGGGACGACGUCAAAUCAUCAUGCCCCUUAUGACUUGGGCUACACACGUGCUACAAUGGCGUAAACAAAGGGAAGCAAUCCCGCGAGGGGGAGCAAAUCUCAAAAAUAACGUCUCAGUUCGGACUGUAGUCUGCAACUCGACUACACGAAGCUGGAAAAGGUAGUAAUCGCGAAUCAGAAUGUCGCGGUGA